rnacentral:lncRNA from 1 species
GACAACAAUGUCCUGCUGCAGCAGACCAGCAACUACCUGCUCAGCCUCCUGGAGCAUCCUCUCCAAGGUGGGCACCUCUGUGGGGUGGAGGGGGCUGAGCGCAACAGGGUGCAGGAUGCUCUCAGGCUCGGGGGGGGGGGGUUCCAAGCUUGCGGUCAGAUGUGUCCUCAAGCCAGUCAUGGCCGUGUAGUCCCCUAAUCUAAGUAGCCCGGGAACCAAGGUGAGAGCAUCUCAAGUUAGAAGGCUACUAAGGAAGACACUGUCUUGCCGGGCAGUGGUGGCACUUGGCACUUGGCAGAGACAGGAAAACCUGUCUUGAAGGUCCCACUGCAAAAAAAAAAAAAAAAAA